rnacentral:misc_RNA from 1 species
UCCGGUUUGUCACCGGCAGUCUCCCUAGAGUUCCCAUCCGAAAUGCUGGCAACUAGGGACAAGGGUUGCGCUCGUUGCGGGACUUAACCCAACAUCUCACGACAUGAGCUGACGACAGCCAUGCAGCACCUGUGUUCGAGUUCCCGAAGGCACCAAUCCAUCUCUGGAAAGUUCUCGACAUGUCAAGGCCAGGUAAGGUUCUUCGCGUUGCAUCGAAUUAAACCACAUGCUCCACCGCUUGUGCGGGUCCUCGUCAAUUCCUUUGAGUUUUACCGUUGCCGGCGUACUCCCCAGGCGGAGAACUUAACGCGUUAGCUGCGACACCGAGAGGCAAACCCUCCCAACAUCUAGUUCUCAUCGUUUACAGCGUGGACUAC